rnacentral:lncRNA from 1 species
UGUGUGUGCAAAUGUGUGCAAGUCAGUAAUGUGUGAGCAUGAGUAUGUGUGCCAGUGUGCGUGUGUCCAUGAGUGUGAGUGUGCAUGUGUCCAUGAGUAUGCGUAUGUGUGCCAGUGUGCAUGUGUGUCCAUGAGUGUGAGUGUGCAUGUGUCCAUGAGUAUGCGUAUGUGUGCCAGUGUGCAUGUGUGUCCAUGAGUGUGAGUGUGCAUGUGUGUCCAUGAGUAUGUGUGUGUGCGUGAGUGUGCACAUGUGUGUGAAUGUGUGUGAAUGUGUGUGUGCAAGUGUGCACAUAUGUGCAAGUGUGAAUGUCCUGUGUGCAUGAGUGUGUGUGCGAUUGAGUGUAUACAUAUGCAUAUGUGAGUACAAGUGUGCACAUGUGUGCAAGUGUGAAUGUCAUACGUGAGCAUGUGCCAGUGUUCAUCUGUGUCCACGAGUAUGUGUGUGCAUGUGUGUGCAAGUGUGAACGAGUGUGCACAUGUGUGCACAUGUAAAUUCGUGGGUGAGCAUGAGUGUGUACGCCAGUGACUGUGCGUGUGUGUCCAUGACUUGCGUGUGUGUGCACAUGUGUGCAAGUAUGAAUGUGUGUGCGUGCGUGUGAGUACAAGUGUGCACAUAUGUGCAAGUGUGACUGUCCUGUGCAUGAGUGUGUGUGAGUGUGUGCGUGUGUGUGCGAUUGAGUAUGCAUAUGCAUAAGUGAGUACAAGUGUGCACAUGUGUGCAAGUGUGUGUCAUGUGUGAGCAUGAGUAUGUGUGCCAGUGAGUAUUCAUGUGUCCACGAGUAUGUGUGUGUGCAUGUGUGCAAGUGUGAAUGUGUGUGCAUGUAUGAGUGUGCACAUGUGUGCACAUGUAAAUUCGUGGGUGAGCAUGAGUGUGUACGCCAGUGAGUGUACAUGUGUAAGCAUAAGUGUGUGUGCACGUGUGUGCAAGUGUGAAUGUCAUGUGUGAGCAUGAGUAUGUGUACGCCAGUGUGAGUGUGCAUGUGUGAGCAUGUGUGUGCACGUGUGUGAAUGCAUAUGCAUGGAAAGGAGGGAGGAUGGCGUUGUGUGUCUCACUGCACGUGGAUGAUAAUACAGCUUUGUGCCUGCUGUGUCUGCAUGAGCAUCUGAGCUUGUGUGUGCUGACGUACUUGUGUGUAUGGGGAGUGAAUGUGACUUGCUAUGUGUGGACAUCGGAUCCGUGUGUGUGCGCGCAUAUGCCUGUCAAUGUGUAGCCAGGGUGGGAAGGUCACGCAGGCGCCGCGGGCGGGCGCCGCCUGGGCCUUCUCUCCUUCGCACCUUCCUCCUCUCUCCCCCGCCCCUGCUUGGCAGCUGCCCUGUUUGCAAACACUGUCUCUUCCUCUCCGCGCCCUCCUUGGCCUCAGGCCCAGAGCAAGGCUACAACUCGGAGCUGGAUCGUGUGUCACGCACUCCCUGGCCCCUGCAUACCCCGCAGGGCGCCUGCUGUGGCCACCGAGGUGUUGCCUGGAGCGGGGCUGACAGCAGGUGUGCUCCUGUGGAGUGACCCCAAGGAGCCUUCGAAUCCAGGUUCAAGCCAUAGAGUUGGGGCCUCUGACCUGGACAAUCCGGAGUUUUGUUUUCGUCACCCCGGCUGGAGUGCAGUGGCACGAUCUCGGCUCACUUCAACCUCCGCCUCCUGGGUUCAAGUGAUUCUCCUGCCUCAGCCUCCAGAGUAACUGGGACUACAGGCACCCGCUACCACGCCUGGCUAAUUUUUGCAUUUUUAGUAGAGACAGGGUUUCACCAUGUUGGCCAGGCUGGUCUCAAACUCCUGACGUCAAGUGAUCCUCCUUCCUUGGCCUCCCAAAGUGCUGGUAUUACAGGUGUGAGCCACCGUACCUGGCCUUAGUAAUUUUGCUUUCAAGUAUCAUUAUUUAAGAAAUACAUUUUGUAAGGCUAUAGCUGUCAUAUAUAGUGAUUCCUCUGAUGGAUCUGGACAAAGUCAAUUGAAAACCUCCUGGAAAGGAUUCACCAUUCUAGAUGUCAUUAAGAACAUUCGUGACUCAGAGAAGGAAGUCAAAAUGUCAACAUUAACAGGAGUUAGGAAGAAGUUGAUUUCAACCCUUAUGGAUGACUUUGAGGGGUUCAAGACUUCAGUGGAGGAGUCACCGCGGAUGUGGUACAAAUAGCAAUGAAACUAGAAUUAGAAGCGGAGCCUGAAGAUGUGAUUAAAUUGCUGCCAUCUCAUGAUAACACUUGAACAGACGAGUUGCUUCUUAUGAAUGAGCACCAAAAAAAGUGGUUUCUUGAGAUGGAAAGUACUUCUGGUGAAGAUACUGUGAAUGUUGUUGAAACGACAAUAAAUGAUUUAGAAUGUUAAUAAACUUAGUUAAUAAAGUAGCAGCCGGGUUGGAGAAGAUUAACUCAAUUUUUAAAAAUUUUUUAGAGUCAGGGUCUCGCUCUGUCACCCAGGCUGGAGUGCAGUGGCACAAUCAUAGCUCACUGCUGCCUCCAUCUCCUGGGCUAAGUGAUCCUUCCAUCUCAGCUUCCCAAGUAGGUGGGACUACAGGUGCACACCACCACACCUGGUUAAUUUUUUUUUUUUUUUUUAGACGAAGUCUCGCUCUGUCACCCAGGCUGGAGUGCAAUGGUGUGAUGUCGGCUCACUGCGAGCUCCACCUUCCGGGUUCAUGCCAUUCUCCUGCCUCAGCCUCCCGAGUAGCUGGGACUACAGACACCCGCCACCACGCCUGACUAAUUUUGUUGUAUUUUUAGUAGAGACGGGGUUUCACCGCGUUAACCAGGAUGGUCUCGAUCUCCUGACCUCGUGAUCCGCCCAAAGUGCUGGGAUUACAGGCGUGAGCCACCGCGCCCGGCCGGCUAAUUUUUAUUUUCUUCGUACACACAGGGUCUUUCUAUGUUGCCCAGACUGGUCUCAAACUCCUGGGCUCAAGUAAUCCUCCUGCCUCAGCCUCCCAAAGUGCUGGGAUUACAGGCGUGAGCCACUAUGCCCGACCUUACUCCAAUUUUGAAAGAAAUUUUUACUGUGGAGUAAAUACUAUCAAAUAGCAUUGCAUGCUACAGAGAAAUCUUUCAUGAAAGAAAGAGUCAAUUGACGCAGCAAACUCCAUUACUGUCUUAUUUUAAGACAUUGCCACAGCCUCCCCAGGCUUCAGUAACCAUCACCCUGAUCAGUCAGCAGCCAUCAACGUCGAGGCAAGAUCCUCCACCAGCAAAACGACUAUGACUUGCUGAAGACUCCGGUGGUCAUUAGCAUGUUUAGCAAUAAAGUAUUUUUAAUUAAAGUAUGUAAUUAAA